AUUGAACGCUGGCGGCAGGCCUAACACAUGCAAGUCGAGCGAGCGGCGGACGGGUGAGUAAUGUAUGGGGACUGCCCGAUAGAGGGGGAUAACUACUGGAAACGGUAGCUAAUACCGCAUACUAUCGGAUAACCCAUAUGGGAUUAGCUAGUAGUUGAGGUAAUGGCUCACCUAGGCGACUAUCCCUAGCUGGUCUGAGAGGAUGAUCAGCUACACGGGUACUGAGACGCGGCCCAGACUCCUACGGAGGCAGCAUUGGGGAAUAUUGCACAAUGGGCGCAAGCCUGAUGCAGCCAUGCCGCGUGUAUGAAGAAGGCACUAUGGUUGUAAAGUACUUUCAGUCGGGAGGCGUUACCGACAGAAGAAGCACCGGCUAACUCCGUGCCAGCAGCCGCGGUAAUAC
rnacentral:rRNA from 1 species